rnacentral:rRNA from 1 species
GAUGAACGCUGGCGGCGUGCCUAAUACCUGCAAGUCGAGCGAACAGAUGAGGAGCUUGCUCCUCUGACGUUAGCGGCGGACGGGUGAGUAACACGUGGAUAACCUACCUAUAAGACUGGGAUAACUUCGGGAAACCGGAGCUAAUACCGGAUAAUAUAUUGAACCGCAUGGUUCAAUAGUGAAAGACGGUUUUGCUGUCACUUAUAGAUGGAUCCGCGCCGCAUUAGCUAGUUGGUAAGGUAACGGCUUACCAAGGCAACGAUGCGUAGCCGACCUGAGAGGGUGAUCGGCCACACUGGAACUGAGACACGGUCCAGACUCCUACGGGAGGCAGCAGUAGGGAAUCUUCCGCAAUGGGCGAAAGCCUGACGGAGCAACGCCGCGUGAGUGAUGAAGGUCUUCGGAUCGUAAAACUCUGUUAUUAGGGAAGAACAAAUGUGUAAGUAACUAUGCACGUCUUGACGGUACCUAAUCAGAAAGCCACGGCUAACUACGUG